CUUGGCGUGGACUUUUUAUUUUGUUAACAACUGCUGUUUCAAUUCGGUAUUAUGGUUACUGAUUGCUAACGUCGGGGAAAAGACCGAUUGCUAUACUCAGAAAAGGACGCCUUGUGCUUUAUUUAAAACAGAGCACAUACCUUGAUUGCAAUUUAAUGAAAAUGAGUGAUAAUAGUUUAAGACUUUCUUUUCGGAAUGUUCUCGUGUUAAUUGGGGGAACCUUAUUACUCAGUCUGGUAAAUGUAAUGCUUUCAACACCUUUACAAUUCGAAAACAACGCACACAGUUUUCAUUCGACAGUUGAUACUCCGGCAGCCAUUACAUGGAUAAAUCCCUAUUACAUGGACGCGACCGUGUUUUUCAACAACGUUGAAGUCGGGACCUGCGAUUUGUACAGAGGACAAAGCUAUGUCUUGAGUGAUGAAAUUCUAUCUCGUGUUUCGGUAAAUAUUAUAAAUGGGCAUUGCCAAUUAAACAUUUUCCGUGCAUCUUGUGAGGACAGAUACAUUGCGGUGAAACUAACAGGGACAUUGCAUGUAAUUGACGCUUCUCUUAACGUUGACGGAUGCGACUCCAAACACUUGGACCAUACAGUCAAUGUGGAACAGCAAGAAUAUGACGUGGCUACUUUCAACUUGUCACAAAACAAUGCUGAUGACGUCACUGUAAAGUCAUCUGAAGUGACUUAUUUCACCGCCCGCUCAACAUAAUACAUCUAUACUGACAACGACCACUAUGCCAAAACACACUUCUAUAGGUGGAAAGAUCACCGUCUCAAAGAGAGCAUUGUUUUCAGUUGUGCCAUCGGUAAUUACAAUUGUAGCUAAACGCUGUUUCCAUGUUCGUGCAUUUUUCAACACGUUUUGAAUUAGUUUUUUGAAAUGUGCAGUCUAUAUCCGAGGUCGUUUCAGUUUUUAAGACUGUUAUAUACCUGGUUUAAAGACGUAUGUAUGUUGAUACAUUCAAAAUGCGUACAAUAUUAUUAGUGUAGUUUAUUUCUCUAUACCAAUGGCGAUUUGUAAAUUGUUGUAAUUUUUAGUAUAUGAACUCAAUUUAGACUGAUUUGUUUGAUGACAUCGGGGCAUGGUGGACAUUUGUUAUCAGAACAGGAUACCAUGUGGUCAUCAUUUCAUUAUAAAGACUAGUCUGGUGUCCUCAUGGAUCGCGAGCAACUUUUCAAAGAUGUAUGGACUUAGUGUUCAAAGGUCUUCAAUGAAAAACACUAAUAAUUUAUUUCGAUGACAUUUGCUCAUAUGCAAAAACAUUUGCAGAAGCCGUUCGAUGUAAUUUUGGGAAGGUUAGAAAAGGCAAAUAUAAAACUCAAACCUAGCAAGUGUCACCUUCUUCAAAAACAAAUUGAUAUACUUGGCCACACUAUUGACUGUGAUGGACUUCGCCCGAAUUACAAAAAAGUGUCAACCGUUCGCCAGUGGCUUCGACCUCGAAAUCUAAGUGAUUUAAGGUCAUUUCUUGGUUUUUGUUCCUAUUACAGACGCUUAAUAAAAGAAUUUAGUCAUCGUGCCGCACCUCUUAAUAGCUUGAUGAAGGCCGGUCGAGCGUUUUAUUGGGGCAAUUAACAAGAAAGUGCAUUUGUGGAUCUGAAAACAGUGUUGACAGGAAAGGAAGUCAUGUCGUAUCCACAGGAUGACGGAAUAUUUAUUGUUGAUACCUUUGCUAGUAAUUUCGCAAUCGAUGGAUGUUUAAGGCAGAUGCAGUGGGGUGAAGUUGCAAAGGCAUAUGUCGAAAAACCUCAUCUUUGCAAGCAAAUCACUUGAUAAAUGCCAGCGUCGUUACUGUGCAACAAGAAGAGAGCUUUUAGCUGUUGUUACAUUUGUGACACAGUUCAGACAUUACAUAAUGGGUAACGAGUUUGUUUUACGGGCUGAUUGGUCAAGUUUGAGAUGGAUUAUGUCAUUCCGAUCACCAACAGAUCAAAUGGCAAGAUGGUUGGACGUGUUAUCGAAGUACGAUUUUCAGAUACAACACCGAAGUGGUCGAACACAUGUUAAUUUGGACAGCCUUAGUCGAAUACCCAGUGAACCAGGAGCAUAUGAGUGUAAUGAAGGACAUCUAACACUAGGGGAGCUACCGUGUAAAGGGUGUGACACAUGUUCGAGGAAACAUAAGCAGUGGACAGAUUUCUCUCUGUUUGAUGACGCGGUUCCUUUAUUUGCCAAAAGGAAUGUUGAGACAGCACAAACCUCGGGUCGUUAAAAGCAAGAGUUUCUAGAGUCAAAAUUCAUGAAUCCGGAUUCUUGAGUAAGAUUUUCGUGCUGCUACAGCUUCUGGCGAUGAAGUUGUUCAACUGUGCAAGUUUCAUGUAUUGUGGAUUAAUCAGAAUAAGGAAAUAGUGUCGCUACAGGAUAUCCCGACUGCGCUUCCAUUAAAAUUCUGACAACCCUGAUGCAGAUCACAGUUCAAAGUCAGGUGACAGAAACUACGAAAUGCAGAAUAAAGACAGAGCCCUUACAUUAGAUGAAUUGCCAUCUUCUGUUAAAAGUCUUGUCAAAUUCGGCACAGUUAACUGUUCACCACAGAGAAUGGCCAGACUUUUAGUAUAUGAACUCAAUUUAGACUGCUUUGUGUGAUGCCAUCGGGGCAUGGCGGACAUCUGUUAUCAGAACAGGAUACCAUGUGGUCAUCAUUUCAUAAUAAAGACUAGUCUGGUUUGUUGCUCGGCAAAGUCUGCUUGUCAGAUAUUUCAACAGUUGCAAUAAUAAAUAGAGAAUACUAGGUCGGUGCUGAAUAAAGCAAAGUUUAUUUUGCGAGGCUUAGAAAAUCUGAACCACGAGCCUUGGCGAGUGGUUCAGAUUUUCGUGCCGAGCAAAAUAAACUUUGCUUUAUUCGGCACCGACCUAGUAUUCGAUUCAUCCCAUCAAUUUUCUUAGUCGUAAAUUAUUUCUUUAAAAAUAGAAUAGGACAAUCGAACUACACGGAAAAUCCUAAAGUUAUUUUAAGCAAACAUUGUUUCAUUAUUUUAAUCGUGCCGAGCCUAAUACAAUACAAAAAGAUCAGUAACUAACCUGUUUUUCUGUUUAUCAUACCUCUACGUCUCCGAUUUUUAAGAAAUAAUGAAAAAAACACACUAAACAAAUGCAGCUUUAGCGUGAAAGAACAUGCAUUGUGUCGUAUGACGUGUUAAUAAUGACGUCGCGAGUACGCGCACUUAAUAUUUGUAAAUAAUGUUUUUUGCUUUUUGAGUUGCAUUAUUUGUUAAAAAUAUAUUACAUCUUGGUAUCAAAUUGUUUGUUUUGUUGAAUCUGAUUUGAUUUUACUAAAAAUGAUGACUUUAUAGUUGAUUCCGAGUAAUAUGACCAUUCUCCGCCGAGCGUGACAGCUAUGUUUCAACACUGCCGAAAUAGAGGAAAAUUUAUUCCACAGUGGUUUAUUUCGACAAUGCACGUCUGAUGAUGGGAUAAAUAUCAAUUAAAUGUAAGGUCCUAUCAUUGUCUUUCCACACAUCUAAAUAUGGUAGGGUGGACAGAUUUGUAUAAAAAGCCAGGUGCAGUGAGAAGCUGGGAGAGGGUAGAAUUGAACGUAGAUAUGUAAAGAUACAAGUAGUAUGAGAUACUUAUUCAUUGGUUUAUAUAUUUAGUAUCAUAGUGUGCAAAUAAAAUGUAGAGUGUAUUUACUGUGUUGAGAAGUAAUAAACUUUGUCCCUCAAAAUUGUAACAAAAUACUUACAUCAUUCUAUCAUUUUUAGUUGUUCGCAAAUGUAUUGUUCGUGCAUAUUUGUAAACUGAACUUACACUUAUGUGUGAAUUGUAUGUGUGUGUCUGUGUUUGAAUGAAAAUGUUCGAUAAAUGGAAAACAAAUAUGAUUUACAUACACUUAAUUUAAAGGGGUAGGCCUAUAUUAGUAAGGGGCGACUCGUUUUAGAAAGAUGAGCGAGUAUUGAUAUGCAUAUAUUGGUAGCAUGUGUAUAUUAAAUAUUUGUAAAGUU